UCUUGUAGUGAAAAUGUCCCAAGAAGAGGAAGCAUCAUGAAGAGGCUAGCAGGCGCUGUGCUGGGGCUUCUGUUUGCCCAGGUUUGCUGUGUGCGAGGGGCGGAUGUGGAGCAGAGUCCCCCAGCCCUGAGUCUCCAGGAGGGAGCCAGCUACACGCUUCGGUGGACAAAGCAGGAAGGAAGAUUAAAGGCCACCACAGUCCCUGCAGAACGCCGCAGCUCACUGCACAUUUCCUCUCCGUGGACCACAGACUCGGGCACUUACUUCUGUGCUGCGCAGCACGGUGCUCCCCAGGCACCUGCAGCCUCUACACGAACCUGCCGCCGAGGCUCCAGACACGCCCUGCUGUGUAGAUGA